rnacentral:sRNA from 1 species
GCUCGGCGACGGUCACGGCCCCGCCGGCAUUCUACACUCGACGGGUAUCUCCGUCAGGGUGGUCGGCCCUCUCAUCCAGCUUCGGCGAACACAUUGCAAGGUCCGGUAAAGCGGGGAGUAGCGGGCUAUGUCCGUCGAAACCCGCGACCGGC